rnacentral:rRNA from 1 species
CAGCGGCGCACGGGUGAGUAACGCGUGGAUAAUCUACCCUCGAGCGGGGGAUAACCCGCCGAAAGGCGGGCUAAUACCGCAUAAGACCACAGGGCUUAUGUGCCGUGGUUAAAGGUGGGGACCCUUCGGGGCCUAUCACUUGAGGAUGAGUCCGCGUCCCAUCAGUUAGUUGGUGAGGUAACGGCUCACCAAGGCGAAGACGGGUAGCUGGUCUGAGAGGACGAUCAGCCACACUGGCACUGGAACACGGGCCAGACUCCUACGGGAGGCAGCAGUGGGGAAUCUUGCGCAAUGGGCGAAAGCCUGACGCAGCGACGCCGCGUGAGGGAAGAAGGCUCUCGGGUCGUAAACCUCUGUCAGGGGGGAAGAAACUUCCGGGGGUUAAUACCCCCCGGGACUGACGGUACCCCCAGAGGAAGCAUCGGCUAACUACGUGCCAGCAGCCGCGGUAAUACGUAGGAUGCAAGCGUUGCUCGGAAUUACUGGGUGUAAAGAGCGCGUAGGUGGCCUGGCAAGUCAAGGGUGAAAUCCCCCGGCUCAACCGGGGAAUUGCCUUUGAAACUGCCGGGCUUGAGUACGGGAGAGGGAAGCGGAAUUCCUGGUGUAGCGGUGAAAUGCGUAGAUAUCAGGAGGAACACCGGCGGCGAAGGCGGCUUCCUGGACCGAUACUGACACUGAGGCGCGAAAGCGUGGGGAGCAAACAGGAUUAGAUACCCUGGUAGUCC